rnacentral:rRNA from 1 species
ACGUAGGUGGCGAGCGUUGUCCGGAUUUACUGGGCGUAAAGCGCGCGCAGGCGGUCUGGUAAGUCUUGGGUGAAAUCGCCCGGCUCAACUGGGCGGGGGCCUGAGAGACUGGCAGACUGGAGGAGCCUAGAGGCCGGUGGAACUCCCGGUGUAGUGGUGAAAUGCGUAGAGAUCGGGAAGAACACCAGUGGCGAAGGCGGCCGGCUGGGGGCGUCCUGACGCUGAGGCGCGAGAGCGUGGGGAGCGAACCGGAUUAGAUACCCGGGUAGUCCACGCCGUAAACGAUGACGACUAGACCUGGGGGGUAUCGACCCCUUCCGGGUCGGCGCUAACGCACGAAGUCGUCCGCCUGGGGAGUACGGCCGCAAGGCUA